ACCAUCUUCCUCUGUAUCAAUAUAGAUAUAUUUUGUUUAUGGCUGGAAAGUUCAAAGCAGCCGUAGGUAGACCAUCACUGGGCGAUUCUAUCAACUUCUGCAUUUUUGCUGCCCUAAAGAUCAAAGCCAGACGCUAUUGCUUUUCUAUAAAAACACAAACGCGGCAAUCAAACUGGCCGCAAAACAAAAGACACUGUGCCUUUUCUGAGCAUGAAAGGCACUUUUAUUCAUGUUUUGUGAUUGAAUGUUGCAUGAGGACUGUGUGGUUAUGAACGUCAGCCCUCGCAUUGGUUGUAAGGAAGCAUCCAUCAGCGAGUAUGAUUAAUAUACAUCGUGACAUAUUUGGUGUUUGACUUUGAAUGCGAUUAAAAUCAAAGCCAAUUCCCACCCCUCAAGCUGUGGUGGGCCGUUUGUGCACAAGCAGAUAAUGGGUGGGAUUACUGCAUAUUAUCUGUGCAUUCAUAAUUGGCCGAGUUGUAGAGUUCCUAUGGGAGUUAAGGGUCUUCUUGAAACCACUGACCUGAAUAUAAUUUGCCCAGCAACUGCAGAGAAUCUCCUUGGCUUAUUGCUCAAGGUUGAGAAAUCACAUGUUUCUUCAAGGAAAGCCCAUAAAAUGACUUGGACAGAUAGAUGCGGAGAGAAAACAUCUGGGCAUCGAUUCAGAAGGACAAUAAUGGGACGCUGACAGAUGGAGCAAAUGGACAGAAUAGCGAACGCGUUCUGAUUGUGCGCUGGACUAACUGGAUCAGAACGCAGCGGUGUGGGCGGGAGACGCUGUCAGCCGGAGGAUUGUUAGUGGUCGGUCCAGAUCUGCUGCUGAAGUCCGUAUCCAGAUCAGAUGGUGGAUGAGUACCAAAACAUGAUGUUUACAGCCCUGACCGUCAUCGUAGACCAGAACACCUAGAUGAGCCCCAGAGAAGGUUCACAGGAGUCAGACACACACACACACACACACACACACAAAAUAAGUCCUUUACACUGACAUAGCCGUGUUUGCAAUUGAACUGGAAAUUAAUUGCUGGUUUUGUCUAGCCAGAGGAAAACUUGCCUGGUUCCUCCCAAGGUUUUUUUUGACAUCCAUUCUGUCACGGAUGGAGAUUUGGUUCCUUGCCCCUUUGCCUCUGACUCGAUUGUUUGUGGAUAAACAGCUUAAAGCCUCACAUUUUUUAAGUUAUACAAAUGGCUGCACCUGUUUACAGUAACAAUAAAUUAAUGAUUUCAAAUGUGAAAAUAUGGCACAGGACUUUUGUCCGUUAGAAUUUUACAUCAUGUUAAAGACUUUAAAGAAACAAGCUUUUAUUUCAUAUUAACUUAGAAACAAAUGCCCAGAAACAAUCAUAGUAAUAACUCGCUAAUGGCUUGUAUUUGUGAUCUGGAGCAUGAAAACAGCCAGUCUCUUACAGUGAUUCAUUAAUUCAAGGAAACAAAUGGGUUUGAGACAAAGUUCCUGAUAGCAAUCGAGGAUUUACCCUGAACUGCAGAUUUGUGUGGCGAUACUUCAUUUGUCAUGCAAAGAGAAAGAAAUGUGAGCACUAGCUUUGUUAGAAAAGGAGGCCGGCGACGCAUACGUAUAUCCUCGUCGUAUACAAGGGAUUUCUUUGCCAUUCACUGACAUAUCCAGCGUCUAGAGGUCUUUCCGACCCUUGUUACAGCUGUGUUGUUGUCUCCAGUCACUACACACAGCCCGGAUCCUGAGCAUUCCUUACAUUUUCUCUUUUCACCAGCCCUUCCAGACAACAAAAGGUCGAUUGUGUUGACAUCACAGCAGCACGAGUGGGCUUCCAUCUCACUUUCCAUCACUUAAAACCAGGCAAGCUUUGAAAAAAAUGGCAGAAGACAAUUUCACUCGUCUUUUGGUUAGUU